UGUACUGUAUGGGCAUCUGUGCUCGGCAGUUUCCUCUUGCUAGAAUGUUUCAAGGACAGCCCUAUAGAAAUUCAAUAUCUAGCAUUGUUGAUUUUCUUGACUUUGUGCUUAUUAAACCUGGUAUUUCUAUGUAUGCAGUU
ensembl:snoRNA LOC120103270 small nucleolar RNA SNORA8